rfam:Cajanus cajan Scaffold135370_27, whole genome shotgun sequence.
UUGUGUGCUGUGACGAGACAAUUUUGUGGACUAGAGUUUCUGAUCUGGGUGCAUACUCAGAAGUUGAUUGAGAAACCCUUGGCUGUCUGAGUACACCA